CGCUUGCACGAGGCCUUCUCGCCCGUCAGCUACCAGCACGACCUGGCUCUGUUGCGCCUUCAGGAGGAUGCGGACGGCAGCUGCGCGCUCCUGUCGCCUUACGUUCAGCCGGUGUGCCUGCCAAGCGGCGCCGCGCGACCCUCCGAGACCACGCUCUGCCAGGUGGCCGGCUGGGGCCACCAGUUCGAGGCUUCCUUGCCUAUGAAAUUGAAUUAAUGGCACCUCCUCCCCUUCGGGCUUGCUGCGAGAGAGGAAGGGCAUGAGUGGGUUUACAAGCGCCUGGAGCAGCUUUGUCCAUCGUCCGGGCGGCAAGCGUUGUCAGAUGGGGUGUGAAGAAGGCGCUCUGUGUUCGCAGGGGCGGAGGAAUAUGCCAGCUUCCUGCAGGAGGCGCAGGUACCCUUCCUCUCCCUGGAGCGCUGCUCAGCCCCG
rnacentral:sRNA from 1 species